rnacentral:lncRNA from 1 species
UUUUAAAAACAGUUCAUCACACAUAUUUGUGGUUUAAUUUCACAUUAAUUUCCAUAUUGUAUAAAUGACUGGAAAAAACUUGAGCCCCUGCCCCUGUAUAAUCAUGUGCACGUCCCUGUUCUCGCUCCAAGGUGAAUCUUCACUGCUCAUGUUCUCCUCAGAAAUAGUCACCUCACUCCCCUCAGGUUACUGUACACAUACACCAACUAUCUGCUUCAGGUUUGAAAUGGAGCUUCAUGGUUGUCUUUUGGAGAAAUGAACAGUCAAGUUGUGUUUGAAAUUUGAUUUUUUUCAGGGGCAAAAGGAAGCCUCUGCAUUCUUGUCAAAUAUGUAAACAGCAUGUUUUUGCAGGUGCUAAAAAACAGACUCUGAGUGUGUGUGUGUGUCUGUGUGUGUGUGUGUGUGUGUGUGUGUAUGUUGGCGUGUGUGUAUAUGUGUGUGUAUCCUGCAGUACUCUGUACUCCUGCAGUGGCCAAAAAGACUUUUAAGAAUGUGGAUUUUUGGGUCAUCUUUGGCGCCCCCUAGAACUGCAGUACUCUGUACUCCUGCAGUGGCCAAAAUGACUUUUAAGAAUGUGGAUUUUUGGGUCAUCUUUGGCGCCCCCUAGAACGUAAACCGUGGGGUGCAGCGUCAUGAUUUUUACAACUUUGAAUGGGCAUGGGGUGUAGAUUGCCCUGAGCAAAUUUGGUAUCGGUGGGACGAAAGCCUUAGGAGGAGAUAGCCACAUUCCAAUGUGUGCAAAUCGGCAAAAAAUGCAAAAUAGCCCUUUAACCGUACAUUAUACAGAUACGCGCUCUUUGACUUUUUCGUAGAUCUAAUUGAGAUACACAUGAUUGUCAAUUUUUGUGUCAAUAUGACAAAGCGUUCAGGCGUGACACUCAACAAUGUGUAUUUUCAUGUAAGGGGACAAGAAAAAAUUGACUUUUUUCUCCUACCAUGGGGGGGCGCUCUUUUGGGGAGUAAAAAUUCCUUCACAAAUGUGUUGAUGGCUGGACAUUGCAUCAUCCUAGAAAACUUGGAGGCCAGUGAGGACAAAAAUAAAAAGUUAUAAAACAUUUAAGAAUGUGGAUUUUUGGGUUAUUUUUGGCGCCCCCUAGAACCUAAACCAUGGGGUGCAGCAUCAUGAUUUGAAUAACUUUUAAUGGCCAUGGGGUGUAGAUUGGCCUGAGCAAAUGUGGUGCCGGUGGAACGAAAGCCUUCGGAGGAGUUAGCGAAAUUCCAAUGUGUGCGGAUCGGCAAAAAAUGCGAAAUAACCCUUUAACCGUACAUUUGACAGAUACGCCCGCACUGACUUUUUUGUAGAUAUUAUUGAGAUACAUGUGUGUGUCAAUUUUUGUGUCAAUAUGACAAAGCGUACAGGCGUGACAGUCAAUAGUGUGAAUUUUCACCUUUGGGGGCGCUAUUGAGCCAUUUUGCAUUUUAUUGUUUGGGCGACAUCAGAAUAUCGAAUUUUUCACCAGGCCCGGUCAUCCUGCCAAAUUUCAUGAGUUUUCGCCGGUGGGAAGUGGGCCAUUUUCCAGUUUAAAGCGGAGGAAAAAUAAUAAUAACUAGGGCCCCGUUGGGGCACUGGCGGGCCCGAGCCGUGUCGCGCCGCCCCCAGCGCGACCGCCUACCCCUCCCGAUCGCGUCACACUCAAGGUCCAAAGAUGGUGUGCGCACUUGUCUGUGGUCAUUUACCAUUAUAAUGAAUGGGAGGCGCAGUUUCUACCAAAACGCUCGCUGCAGACAAACUCCAUGUCCUUUUUGAAAAAAGUCUGGACCAUGAGUGAGGGCACAAACACAGCUAGUAUAUAUCCAAAUGGCAAGUUGCUCCUCCUUUCGGUUUUGCCGAGAGAGCGAUGCGUUUGAGCCAUUGAGCGAUGGGCAGGAAAAACUUGACUUUUUCUCCUGCCAUGGGGGGCGCUCUUUUGGGGAGAAAAAUUCCUUCACAAAUGUGUUGAUGGCUGGACAUUGCAUCAUCCUAGAAAACUUGGAGGCCAGUGAGGACAAAAAUAAAAAGUUAUAAGACUUUUAAAAAUGUGGAUAUUUGGGUCCUCUUUGGCGCCCCCUAGAACGUAAACUGUGGGGUGCAGCGUCAUGAUUUGUACAACUUUGAAUGGCCAUGGGGUGUAGAUUGACCUGAGCAAAUUUGAAGCCGAUGGGACAAAAGAUUUAGGAGGAGUUAGCCACAUUCCAAUGUGUGCGAAUCAGCAAAAAAUGCGAAAUAGCCCUUUAACCGUACAUUGAACAGAUACGCUCGCAUUGACUUUUUCGUAGAUCUUAUUGAGAUACAUGUGUGUGUCAAAUUUUGUGUCAUUUUGACAAAGCGUAAAGGCGUGACAGUCAACAAUGUGUAUUUUCGCCUUAGGAGACAAGAAAAAAUGGACUUUUUUCUCCUGCCAUGGGGGGGCGCUCUUUUGGCGAGUAAAAAUUCCUUCACAAAUGUGUUGAUGGCUGGACAUUGCAUCAUCCUAGAGAACUUGGAGGCCAGUGAGGACAAAAAUAAAAAGUUAUAAGACUUUUAAGACUGUGGAUUUUUGGGUUAUCUUUGGCGCCCCCUAGAACGUAAACCGUGGGGUGCAGCGUCAUGAUUUGUACAACUUUUAAUGGCCAUGGGGUGUAGAUUGGCCUGAGCAAAUGUGGUGCCUUUGGAACGAAAGCCUUCGGAGGAGUUAGCGAAAUUCCAAUGUGUGCGGAUCGGCAAAAAAUGCGAAAUAGCCCUUUAACCGUACAUUUGACAGAUACGCUCGCACUGACUUUUUUGUAGAUCUUAUUGAGAUACAUGUGUGUGUCAAUUUUUGUGUCAAUAUGACAAAGCGUAAAGGCGUGACAGUCAAUAGUGUGAAUUUUCGCCUUAGGAGACAAGAAAAAAUGGACUUUUUUCUCCUGCCAUGGGGGGGCGCUCUUUUGGCGAGUAAAAAUUCCUUCACAAAUGUGUUGAUGGCUGGACAUUGCAUCAUCCUAGAGAACUUGGAGGCCAGUGAGGACAAAAAUAAAAAGUUAUAAGACUUUUAAGACUGUGGAUUUUUGGGUUAUCUUUGGCGCCCCCUAGAACGUAAACCGUGGGGUGCAGCGUCAUGAUUUGUACAACUUUUAAUGGCCAUGGGGUGUAGAUUGGCCUGAGCAAAUGUGGUGCCGGUGGAACGAAAGCCUUCGGAGGAGUUAGCGAAAUUCCAAUGUGUGCGGAUCGGCAAAAAAUGCGAAAUAACCCUUUAACCGUACAUUUGACAGAUACGCUCGCACUGACUUUUUUGUAGAUCUUAUUGAGAUACAUGUGUGUGUCAAUUUUUGUGUCAAUAUGACAAAGCGUAAAGGCGUGACAGUCAAUAGUGUGAAUUUUCACCUUAGGGGGCGCUAUGGAGCCAUUUUGCAUUUUAUUGUUUGGGCGACUUCAGAAUAUCGAAUUUUUCACCAGGCCCAUUCGUCCUGCCAAAUUUCAUGAGUUUUCGCCAGUGGGAAGUGGGCCAUUUUCCCCUUCAAAGGGGAGGAAAAAUAAGACUAGGGCCCCGGUGGGGCACUGUCGGGCCCGAGCCGCGUCGCGCCGCCCCCAGCGCGACCGCCUCCCCCUCCCGAUCGCGUCACACUCAAGGUCCAAAGAUGGUGUGCGCACUUGUCUGUGGUCAUUUCCCAUUAUAAUGAAUGGGAGGCGCAGUUUCUACCAAAACGCUCGCUGCAGACAAACUACAUGUCCUAUUUGAAAAAAGUCUGGACCAUGAGUGAGGGCACAAACACAGCUAGUAUAUAUCCAAAUGGCAAGUUGCUCCUCCUUUCGGUUUUGCAGAGAGAGCGAUGCGUUUGAGCCAUUGAGCGAUGGGCAGGAAAAACUUGACUUUUUCUCCUGCCAUGGGGGGCGCUCUUUUGGGGAGAAAAAUUCCUUCACAAAUGUGUUGAUGGCUGGACAUUGCAUCAUCCUAGAAAACUUGGAGGCCAGUGAGGACAAAAAUAAAAAGUUAUAAGACUUUUAAAAAUGUGGAUAUUUGGGUCCUCUUUGGCGCCCCCUAGAACGUAAACUGUGGGGUGCAGCGUCAUGAUUUGUACAACUUUGAAUGGCCAUGGGGUGUAGAUUGACCUGAGCAAAUUUGAAGCCGAUGGGACAAAAGAUUUAGGAGGAGUUAGCGAAAUUCCAAUGUGUGCGGAUCGGCAAAAAAUGCGAAAUAACCCUUUAACCGUACAUUUGACAGAUACGCCCGCACUGACUUUUUUGUAGAUCUUAUUGAGAUACAUGUGUGUGUCAAAUUUUGUGUCAUUUUGACAAAGCGUAAAGGCGUGACAGUCAACAAUGUGUAUUUUCGCCUUAGGAGACAAGAAAAAAUGGACUUUUUUCUCCUGCCAUGGGGGGCGCUCUUUUGGCGAGUAAAAAUUCCUUCACAAAUGUGUUGAUGGCUGGACAUUGCAUCAUCCUAGAGAACUUGGAGGCCAGUGAGGACAAAAAUAAAAAGUUAUAAGACUUUUAAGACUGUGGAUUUUUGGGUUAUCUUUGGCGCCCCCUAGAACGUAAACCGUGGGGUGCAGCGUCAUGAUUUGUACAACUUUUAAUGGCCAUGGGGUGUAGAUUGGCCUCAGCAAAUGUGGUGCUUUUGGAACGAAAGCCUUCGGAGGAGUUAGCGAAAUUCCAAUGUGUGCGGAUCGGCAAAAAAUGCGAAAUAGCCCUUUCACCGUACAUUUGACAGAUACGCCCGCACUGACUUUUUUGUAGAUCUUAUUGAGAUACAUGUGUGUGUCAAUUUUUGUGUCAAUAUGACAAAGCGUAAAGGCGUGACAGUCAAUAGUGUGAAUUUUCGCCUUAGGAGACAAGAAAAAAUGGACUUUUUUCUCCUGCCAUGGGGGGGCGCUCUUUUGGGGAGUAAAAAUUCCUUCACAAAUGUGUUGAUGGCUGGACAUUGCAUCAUCCUAGAAAACUUGGAGGCCAGUGAGGACAAAAAUAAAAAGUUAUACGACUUUUAAGAAUGUGGAUUUCUGGGUUAUCUUUGGCGCCCCCUAGAACGUAAACCGUGGGAUGCAGCGUCAUGAUUUGUACAACUUUUAAUUGCCAUGGGGUGUAGAUUGGCCUGAGCAAAUUUGGUGCCGGUGGAACGAAAGCCUUCGGAGGAGUUAGCGAAAUUCCAAUGUGUGCGGAUCGGCAAAAAAUGCGAAAUAGCCCUUUAACCGUACAUUUGACAGAUACGCCCGCACUGACUUUUUUGUAGAUCUUAUUGAGAUACACGUGUGUGUCAAAUUUUGUGUCAUUUUGACAAAGCGUACAGGCGUGACACUCAAUCAUGUGAAUUUUUCACCUUAGGGGGCGCUAUGGAGCCAUUUUGCAUUUGAUUUUUUGGGCGACUUCAGAAUAUCGAAUUUUUCACCAGGCCCGGUCGUCCUGCCAAAUUUCAUGACUUUUCACCAGUGGGAAGUGGGCCAUUUUCCAGUUCAAAGGGGCAGAAAAAUAAUAAGAAGAAGAAGAAGAAAGAAGAAUCCAUCAGGAAUAAUAGGGCUCUCGCAGCUGCUUAGCAGCUACGCUCGGGCCCUAAAGAAAGAAAGAAAGAAAGAAAGAAAGAAAGAAGAAAGAAAAACCUAUACAGGAAUAAUAGGGCUCUACGCCCGGCUGCUCUGCAGCUGGCUCGGGCCCUAAUAAUAACAAAAGAAGGAAACAUGCAGGAACAAGAGGGCUCUCGCAGCUGCUUAGCAGCUACGCUCGGGCCCUAACUAGGACCCCGUUGGGGCACUGGCGGGCCCGAGCCGUGUCGCGUCCCCCCCCAACGUGCUGCCUCCCCGUCCCAUUUGUGUCCUCUGGCCAUCGCCCUCUCUGGUAACGCCCAUCACUGCAAAGACCCUUUUCCUUCAUCGGCGUUUGCUGUUCUUCCUGCCAGUGCGUGUUGCUUUCACUUACACUUGCCACAGCCAGCCUCGUGAGUGCCUAACCUAUUGGAUAUCACUGUCACCUACACAGGACAGUCAUUACCUUUCUAUUAAUACUUUGUGUUUUAAUUUCACAUUAAUUUCCAUAUUGUAUAAACGACUGGAAAAAACUUGAGCCCCUGCCCCUGUAUAAUCAUGUGCAUGUCUCUGUUCUAGCUCCAAGGUGAAUCUUCACUGCUCAUGUUCUCCUCAGAAGCACUCACCUCACUCCCCUCAGGUUACUGUACACAUGCACCAACUGCCUGCUUCAGGUUUGGAUGGAGCUUCAUGGUUGUCUUUUGGAGAAAUGACCAGUCAAGUUGUGUUUGAAAUUUGAUUUUUUUCAGGGGCAAAAGGAGCCUCUGCAUUCUUGUCAAAUAUGUAAAUAGCAUGUUUUUGCAGGUGCUAAAAACCAGACUCUGAGUGUGUGUGUGUGUGUGUGUGUGUGUGUGCGUGUGUGUGUGUCUAUGUGUGCGUUCAAGUCACAUGACAUAUUUAACCUGAUGUAGCUGCAAGACGGAGCCUCGUUGACUCUCCGUUUCAACUUAUCUCAAAAGUGAGGACCUCAACCUAUAUACCAGUUUUUAAAUUGUGUUGAUAGGCCAAAUAAAACCAGAGUUAUGAUAAAUUAUGUCCGCGAUACUUUUUUUCUGCUUAUUUUGAUCACGUUCGGCGCUCGAUCGCGCUGUAUGAGACAGGAAAACAUAGCAUGCAGACAUUAGCGACAGGUCUUACAGGCGGAAAAGGCUUGCCAAAAGAAAAAAAAAACACACCACAACAUCUCUCCUAUUGGUGGAAAACUUCACCACAACAACCAAUCCAAAAUUAUAUGGUGACUGAUUGACAAGGGGCGGGCGCUUACGUUCUUCCUGCAACAUGAGAAGGGAGGGAGGGACUCUCAGCAGGGAUGCAGUCUGGGACACGUAGUUGCAAACCUAGCGACUUUUUUGUUAGAUUCAAUGACUUUUCAGACACCCUAACGACUUUUUUAGAAAGAAAGGGACUUUUAUCGACUUCUUCUGGAGUUUAGAGACUCUGACAUGAAGCAGGCUUUCCUUACUGAGGAGUUAGCAACGCUGCUAAGGGUGCAGAGCCACACAUGCGCUCAGAGCUCUGCAUGGGAGACUGAAGCUGACAGAGCUGCAGCAGUUAGCAGGUUUCACCCUCAGAGACCACCAGGGGUUCAUGUUGAGGCAUUUUAAUUUUUUUUUUUUUUUGUGCCAUAGACACUGUCAGCAAAAUCUGCAGUUACACUAACAAAAAUGCUGCAAAAAACAAAGAAUUAUGGAAAAAUUACACAUGGACUGACAUAGAGGAGGAUCUACACAAGUUUUUUACAUCAUGUUUUACAUCAUGCAUCAUUUACAUCAUGUUUGUUUGUAGUGGCAUAAAUAAAAAGUGACAUUUGUGAGACUAUACAGUGUUUUGUAAAUAAUUUUACAAAGAACGCCUGGGCCAUUGCCUGCAUUUUGAUGUAAAUAGAGGUAAAUUACUAUGUUCUUUGUUAAAAAUUUGCAUAUGUUUUGAAGUUUACAAUUUUUAUUUGAAGUUUAAGUUUUAAAAACAGUUCAUCACACAUAUUUGUGGUUUAAUUUCACAUUAAUUUCCAUAUUGUAUAAAUGACUGGAAAAAACUUGAGCCCCUGCCCCUGUAUAAUCAUGUGCACGUCCCUGUUCUAGCUCCAAGGUGAAUC